rnacentral:rRNA from 1 species
GAGUAUACAUUCGCGGUCAGUGGAGUGCGGAAGAACUUACCGAAUUGUCACACGAGUUGUUGCUGGUCCUCAUAACGGGGGCAUGUGCACGCUCUGUUUACACAUCCACUCACACCUGUGCACCCUCUGUAGUUCUGUGGCGUGGGGGACUCUGUCCUCCUGUUAUGGUCCUACGUCUUUACACACACUCUGUAACAAAGUCUCAUGGAAUGCAUGACGCGUUUAACGCAAUACAAUACAACUUUCAGCAACGGAUCUCUUGGCUCUCGCAUCGAUGAAGAACGCAGCGAAAUGCGAUAAGUAAUGUGAAUUGCAGAAUUCAGUGAAUCAUCGAAUCUUUGAACGCACCUUGCGCCCUUUGGCUAUUCCGAAGGGCAUGCCUGUUUGAGUAUCAUGAACACCUCAACUCUCAUGGUUUGCCAUGAUGAGCUUGGACUUUGGAGGUCUUGCUGGCCUGUGGGCGGCUCCUCUCAAAUGGAUCAGCUUGCCAGUGUUUGGUGGCAUCAUGGGUGUGAUAACUAUCUACGCCUGUGGUCUUCUACCGGAUAACCUUCAGUGAUGGAGGUACGCUGGAGCUCAUAAAUGUCUCUCCUCAGUGAAGACAGCUUUUUGAACGUUUGAUCUCAAAUCAGGCAGGACUACCCGCUGAACUUAAGCAUAUCAAUAAGCGGAGGAA